ensembl:rRNA 5S_rRNA 5S ribosomal RNA
GUCUACGGCCACACCACCCUGCAUGCGCCCGAUCUCGUCUGAUCUCGGAAGCUAAGCAGGGUCGGGCCUGGUUAGUAUUUGGGUGGGAGAAUGGCCCCCAAAUAUGUCCUAAUCCCUCAAACCUGUGAGUAGUACCUU